CCUGAGGCUGGGCGCUCAGCAGACGACGUAGUUCUUGUGCUCUUCCCGCCUCGCCUUUCUUUUCUUGGUUUCAAUCCCUGGUGUUGCAAGCCAAUUCCCGGGUCUUGUUAGGCGGGAAACACAGACUGCAUUACCCAUGUUUGAAACUGGAUUUGCGCGUUUGGGAAGCAAGAAUGGGGUUACUCUGCUGGAAAAGCUUGACAUUGCAAAUAAGGGAUUUUUACCCUACGGUUCCACAAGUUCCCACUAAGUAUCUGGUACGCGGAAGAGAGGGACAAGGAAGCACAGAGGCUCAGAACAGUUCGUUGUUCACCUCGUCUUUCUACCACAUAAUUCUGCCUCUAGAAAUACAGGAGAAAGAGUAGCCACGCAAAGCUUCUAGGACCCCCCCUAGGAUUCCUUUGUGGAUCAAAGGCAAAGAAAGAAGGGCUUCUGAAGGCCUGGCACAGCUACAAGGAUUCUCCUGACAGUAUGGCACAUCUGUCUAGCACGUCAUGUUUCGGGGAAGCCUUUCCCAACGGUGUCAUGAGGCUGGCAGGGUGGGGCAUUCUGUCCAUCAGCGAGGAGCAGAUGGAGAGCCAAAGAGGAUGAGUGAAUUGCCGACGCGCACGCCUGGUUCAGGAUCAGCAUCCAGGUCUCCUCAUUAAGUCCAAUGAGCUUUCAGCUCUGUCAUGCUGCCUCUUCUUCCCCAGAGGGCUUGGGAAACAUAAGCAACUGCCUACAGGAAAUAUGCUUCACCUUCCUCACAGACACGGCGUUCCAGAACCAGACUCCAUGGAAACAGAACACAGAGGGUGUGUACAUGCAUGUCUUCUAGACCCACUCCAGUUCUCAUCAGAAGCUGAUGAGCCACCCCACAGUUCACGGCGGGUCAGACCUAAUCCGUAUCCUCUUCAAAAUAGGCCAGAAAAAUGGAAUCACUGGAUAUCAGAAGAGAAAGGGAACCACAGAGUCUUGCUAGUCUAAUGCCUUUAUUUUAAGGAUGAAGAAAUAGCCUUUUGUUUUGUUUUUCAGAUUUAUUGAGAUAUAAUGUACAAAGUGGUAAGAUACUUAAAGUUACAACAUGAUUUUGAAACAACCUUGCCUUGUGAAAGGACUCCCCCAUCAUGUUAAUUACCCUGAUAAUCACUUCACAUAUUUACCUUUGUGUGUGUAUGUUUGAGAAUAUUUAAGUUCUACUCUCUCAGCAAAUUUCAAUUAUACAAAUACAGUGUUAUCAACUAUAGUCACCAUGUUAUACAGUAGAUCCUCAGACUUCAUUCAUCUUGUAACUAAAAGUUUACACAAUUUUGCUGACUUCUCCUAUUUCUCCUACCUCCAGUCCCUUCAACCAUUUUCUACACUCUGUUUCUUAGAGUUUUUUAAAGAUUUUACAUAUAAGUGAUACUAUACAGUAUAUGUCUUUCUCUGUGUGCCUUAUUUCACUUAACAUAAUUCCCUCUAGUUUUACCUAUGUUGUUCCCAGUGAUAGGAUCUCCUUCUUGUUUAAGGCUGCAUAGCAUUCCAUUAUAUUUUUAGAACUCAUUUUCUUGAUCCAUUCAUGCAUCAGUGGAUGGUUAUAUUGUUUCAAUACCUUGACUGUUGUGAAUAUUGCUGCCAUGAACACAGAAGUACAGAUAUCUCUUGGAGAUAAUGGUUUCAUUUCCUUUGCAUAUCUACCCUGAAGAGGGAUUGUUGAAUCAUAUGGUAGUUCUCUUUUUAAUUUCUAGGAGGAAUAUCCAUACUGUUUUCCACAGUGGCUGUACCAGUUUACAUUUCCACCAACAGUAUACAAGGGUUUCCUUUUCUCCACACCCUAGCCAGCAUUUAUUGAAUUUUGAUUACAGCCAUCCUAACAGGUGCAGAGUGACUGUGGGUUUUUUGAUGUGGGUUUUCCUGAUGAUUAGUGAUGCCGAGUACCUUUUCAUGUACCUGUUGGUCAUUUAUAUGUCUUCAGAAAAAUGUCUAAUCACAUCCUUUGCUCAUUUUUAAAUUGGGUUAUUUGGGUUUUUGCUUAGUUAUGUGAAUUCCUUGAAUUUGGAUAAUAAUCCCUUAUCUGUAAAUAUGUAAAUACUUUCUCUCAUUCCAUAGGCUGCCUUUUUAUUUUUUUAAUUUUAAAUUUUUUAUUUUUUUGUCGUUUGUCUUUCUAGGGCUGCACCUGUGGCAUGUGGAAGUUCCUAGGCUAGGGGUCAGAUUGGAGCUACAGCUGCCGGUCUAUGCCAUAGCCACAGCAAUGCCUUUUUAUUUUAUGAUGGUUUCCUUUAGGUAUUCUAUGCUCAUGGAUUGAAAGAAUUAAUAAGGUUUAAAUGUCUGUAGUACCCAAAGCAAUCUAUAGAUUCAAUGCAACAUCUAUAAAAAUGCCAAUGUGCUUUCCACACAAAUAGAAAAACAAUCCUAAAGUCUAUGGAAACAUGGAAGACCCCAAACAUUCAAAGCAAUCUUGAGAAAGAAGAACAAACCUAUAGGAAUCACAGUUUGUAAUUUCAAACUAUAUUAUAAAGAUACAGUAAUCAAAACAGUAUGGUGCUGGCAUAAAAACAGGCUCAUAGUCCAGUGGAACAGUGUAGAGUCUAGAAGUAAACCCAUGCAUAUAUGGUCAAUUAAUUUUCAACAAAGUAGCCAAGAAUAUACAAUGGGGAAAGGAUAGUCUCUUACCUAAGUGGGAAGACAUGGAUAGCCACAUGCAAAAGAAUGAAACUGGAUCCCUGUCUUACGCCAUACACAACUCAAAAUGGAUGGAAGACUUGAAGUCGAACUGAAAUUGUAAAGGUCCUGAAAGAGAACUCAGGGAGAGUAAACCCCUUGACCUUGGUCUUGACAAUGACUAUUUGAAUUUGAUACCAAAAGCAAAGUCAACAAAAGCAAAAGUAAACAAGCAGAUGACAUUGCAUUAAAAAGCUGCUCUGGGAGUUCCCAUCGUGGCUCAGUGGUUAACGAAUCCAACUAGGAACCAUGAGGUUGCAGGUUCGAUCCAUGGCCUUGCUCAAUGGGUGAAGAACCUGGUGUUGCCGUGAGCUGCGGUGUAGGUCGCAGACGCGGUUCGGAUCCCAGUUGCUGUGGCUCUGGUGUAGGCCUGUGGCUACAGCUCCGAUUAGACCCCUAGCCUGGGAACCUCCAUAUGCCGAGGGAGCCGCUCUAGAAAUGGCAAAAAGACAAAAAAAAAAAAAAAAAAAAAAAAAAAA
rnacentral:lncRNA from 1 species